AGAGAAGCGAUGCGGCGACGCAGAGCGGAACUUCAAAGCCUGUCUCAGUUCGGAUUGGAGUCCGCAACCCGACUCCAUGAAGCUGGAUUCGCUAGUAAUCGCGCAUCAGCCACGGCGCGGUGAAUACGUUCCCGGGCCUUGUACACACCGCCCGUCAAGCCAUGGAAGCCGGGAGUGCCUGAAGUGUGCAACCGCAAGGAGCGCCCUAAGGUAAAACCGGUGACUGGGGCUAAGUCGUAACAAGGUAUC
rnacentral:rRNA from 1 species